AAAAAGGGCUUCUGUUGUGAGUAGCACCUGUAGGGCAGCUUGAUUGCUCUUCAUGCGGAAUUGACAUCAAGAGAUUUCAGAAGCAUAAUUUUUGGUACCCUAGCAGCUGGUGAUCAUUGGCCCUGAAAGAAAAAAAGGAUCAGACGCUUAA